rnacentral:rRNA from 1 species
GCUGAACUUAAGCAUAUCAAUAAGCGGAGGAAAAGAAACCAACAGGGAUUGCCCUAGUAACGGCGAGUGAAGCGGCAACAGCUCAAAUUUGAAAUCUGGCGCAAGCCCGAGUUGUAAUUUGUAGAGGAUGUUUCUGGCGACGUACCUUCCGAGUUCCCUGGAACGGGACGCCAUAGAGGGUGAGAGCCCCGUACGGUUGGUUGCCUAGCCUUUGUGAAACUCCUUCGACGAGUCGAGUAGUUUGGGAAUGCUGCUCUAAAUGGGAGGUAUACGUCUUCUAAAGCUAAAUACCGGCCAGAGACCGAUAGCGCACAAGUAGAGUGAUCGAAAGAUGAAAAGCACUUUGAAAAGAGGGUUAAAUAGUACGUGAAAUUGUUGAAAGGGAAGCGUUUAUGACCAGACUUGGGUAGGUUGAUCAUCCGUGGUUCUCCGCGGUGCACUCUGCCUGCCUAGGCCAGCAUCAGUUCAGUUCGGGGGAUAAAGGCUUCGGGAAUGUAGCUCCCUCGGGAGUGUUAUAGACCGUUGCGUAAUACCCUGAUC